rnacentral:rRNA from 1 species
CGCUGGCGGCGUGCUUAACACAUGCAAGUCGAACGGGAUCCAGGCAGCUUGCUGUCUGGUGAGAGUGGCGAACGGGUGAGUAAUGCGUGACCAACCUGCCCCAUACUCCGGAAUAGCUCCUGGAAACGGGUGGUAAUGCCGGGUGUUCCGCAUCAUCGCAUGAUGGUGUGGGAAAGGGUUUACCGGUAUGGGAUGGGGUCGCGUCCUAUCAGCUUGUUGGUGGGGUGAUGGCCUACCAAGGCUUCGACGGGUAGCCGGCCUGAGAGGGCGACCGGCCACAUUGGGACUGAGAUACGGCCCAGACUCCUACGGGAGGCAGCAGUGGGGAAUAUUGCACAAUGGGCGAAAGCCUGAUGCAGCGACGCCGCGUGCGGGAUGACGGCCUUCGGGUGGUAAACCGCUUUUGAUUGGGAGCAAGCGAGAGUGAGUGUACCUUUCGAAUAAGCACCGGCUAACUACGUGCCAGCAGCCGCGG